CGGUCCGUAGCUCAGUGGUAGAGCGCUGUCCUUAUAAGACAGUGGCCGCAGGUUCGAUCCCUGCCGGACCGACCA
rnacentral:tRNA from 1 species